CUACAAACCCGCGCUAUCGCUUUUUAAUAAUCAAUUGAAGAGAGGAAAGUCCGGACAGCAUAGAGCAACUUACCGGCUAACAGCCGGCUGCCAUUGCAAAAUGGCAAGAGAAAGUGCCACAGAAAAUAACUGUCCGCCGCAGGCGGAUGAGGGUGAAAACGUAAGGUAAGAGCUUACGGCUUUGGGCAGCAAUGUACUGAGCGGGUAAACCUUAAGUGCUGUAAUGCCACAUAUAAAUUCGGUUGAGAGCGGCUCGUUCGAUGAAUUUGGGUAGGCAGCAACAUCCCGCAUAGUAAUAUCGGGAGCAGAUAAAUGAUAGUGUAGAAACAGAAUCCGGCUUAUGAGGUUUGUAGUUUU
rnacentral:RNase_P_RNA from 1 species